rnacentral:rRNA from 1 species
GAUGAACGCUGGCGGCGUGCCUAAUACAUGCAAGUCGAGCGAACAGACGAGGAGCUUGCUCCUCUGACGUUAGCGGCGGACGGGUGAGUAACACGUGGAUAACCUACCUAUAAGACUGGGAUAACUUCGGGAAACCGGAGCUAAUACCGGAUAAUAUAUUGAACCGCAUGGUUCAAUAGUGAAAGACGGUUUUGCUGUCACUUAUAGAUGGAUCCGCGCCGCAUUAGCUAGUUGGUAAGGUAACGGCUUACCAAGGCAACGAUGCGUAGCCGACCUGAGAGGGGGAUAGGCCACACUGGAACGGAGACACGGUCCAGACUCCUACGGGAGGCAGCAGUAGGGAAUCUUCCGCAAUGGGCGAAAGCCUGACGGAGCAACGCCGCGUGAGUGAUGAAGGUCUUCGGAUCGUAAAACUCUGUUAUUAGGGAAGAACAAAUGUGUAAGUAACUAUGCACGUCUUGACGGUACCUAAUCAGAAAGCCACGGCUAACUACGUG